UAUCUGAAGUAAGGGAUAGCAAGUGCCCUUCCAAGUGAAAUGGACAAAAUGUCAACCCCAUCUUGAAUAGCAGCGUCGAAGGCAGCCAAUAUAUCAGCAUCAUAGCAACCCGGCCAGCACACCUUGUAUGAAGCAACUCGUGCAUUAGGUGAUCCUCCUUUCGCUGUCCCGUAGGCUGAUCCUAGGAAAUUCGCACCUGAAACAAAGCGACCACCAGCUGUAGAUAGAGUGUGGGUACCAUGACCAUUAGUAUCUCUUGCGGUGUUAUUGGAUGAAUCAAGUGGACGGCCUAGAGCUGCCUCAUAACCCUUGUUGAAGUACCUUGCUCCGAUCAACUUCCUGUAAGUAAUGACAUUGAUUUCUUUUUUUAGAACUUGUAUCAAGAAGCAUUUUUCACUGUUCUUAGUAAUGUUAGAGAGCAGGCGAAGAAAGAAACCUAUUGCAUUUAACCCCAUCAUUUGUUUCACAAUAUCCUUUCCACCUUGUUGGAAUUGGUCCCAUUCCUUCAUCGUUGAAGCUCUCUGAUUCCGGCCAGACACCUAUCAAUCAACCACGAAUUAAUCAAGAGAAAAAAUUAAAAUGUUACACAACUAAUAAGAAGAAAAAAUAAAAUAAAGAGGACCAUUCAAAAGCAGUUGCCGACCAGUGGAUAGCUUAAUGAAACAUUCGGAAGAUGUGUCAUCAUCGAUAAUACAUUAAGGGCAGCCGCAACGAGGAUUUAAAUAUUAACGUUCUAGAGCUAAUAAAAUACAUUAAGGGCAGUCUUUAUGGACCAUUCAAAGCUGAUGCUCGCUCGUCCAAAGAUGAAACAAAGCAGUAGUAAAUAGUAAUUAUGAAACUAAUAAAAUACACUUUUCCAAGUCAAACACAAGUAAGAUUACCAGUGUCAAGAUUUCCAAUAAUUACGUCUUCACCAAAUCUUGCCUUUAACCAGAUUGAAUCAGCAGGGAUUUGUCCAUUUCUCUCUAGUCCAAGAAACUCCCAUGACCGAGUUGUAUGCAACUGAUUUACUUCAUUUGGAAAAACUGAUACAACUUCCGGACGGUCUGCAACGAGAGGAAAGAACAGUCAACAAUCAAAGAUCCGAGUAUAUAUUAGACUGUGAAAUGAAGCAGAAGGAAUGACAAUAUCAUCAGCUUGCCAUGUUUUCGUACUCGAUAAUUGAUCCACUUCAUCAUCUUCGAGGGUUGCAGCAAAGCCAUUGAUAUGACUUGUGUACAAAUAAAAUAUUGCUUCUUUAGCUUUCUCCUUGCUGUUUAAUUCACAAUUUAUCAGUACAGCAAUGGAGAUGGAAUAUUUAUGAAACUAGUUGUCAUUACCUUUUCAAACAAGAACCCAAUAGAUCAUAGUAGGACUCGGUCAUUCCAUCAUUCCCCAAGGUUGAAGGUUUAGAAGUGUGUGAAUUUCUCCCGAGAUACACCACAUAAGACUGAACCAUGGAAAUCAUAUAUAUAUUAUCAUUGGAAAAAUAACAGAAAACAUGCAUAGUAGUUGAGAGUAAGUUUUAACACUACGGUGCUUAAUUCCAUGCUCUCCGCCCUCUUGUACAUGUCAAGACCUUGGCAUAUACUCAGAACUUGGGCUAAAUUUAUUUUGAUCAUGGCAAGCAAAAGCAUUGCAUGAGUAUAAAAGUAAGCAACUGAGAAAGCAAAGGACAUGAUGAUCAAAGGUCAAGAAUGAUACUUGCCUUUUUCACCGCUAAUAUUGGACUGAUCUGCAGAAAGGACAAAAGGGAGAAAAGAAGCAACAGAGAAGAAAUAAUCUUCAUAUUUCCUAUACUUUCUUUUCGCUAUACAAAUGAAAGGCUGCUAAUUCUACCCUUUAUAUAGGAUCGUUAUCUGAAAAUUAUCUGCGAAAAUGUCUUUGUAAUUAAUUAAAUGAAGCGUGUAUGAAGUUUUCAGAUGUUAUUACUGGUCAAUAAAUGAUAAUUAAGUUCUGCUGCUUAGUGACGUUGUCAGAUUAAUAGCAUAUUAUUGCAAGCAAUGCAAUAGAAAAUCUCAGGAUUUGAGCAAGUCCAAUCAUAUGACAGUGUAAGUGAUUAGAGAAUGUCUGCGUUGCCGACUAGCGAAAUGUAUUAAGACGUACUUUAUUAUUUUUAGGACAAGUUACCUUUCAGACAUUUAUUAGGUUAAGAUCAACAGGGAAAUUUCCAAACUUUUGAAGUGGGUUAUCCUGUCCUUUCCAGAAUUAAAGAUUCAUGACUCGGAUAAUUAAUUCUACACAUCUCUUUCCCGGAAGAGAUCAAGGUUAAUGCAACAAGUAAAGGACUUGCCAUCUUGGCCAGUGCCCUACUUGGUUUUUUUUUUUCCUUAAAUCUUCUCGGGAAGGGGAUGAAGGAAACAGAUCAAGACAGAGUCAAACAUUUAGAAAAGAAGAUUAAUAUGAAAAUUCAACAGGGUUUAAAGAUGAAAUUAGUUCCAUCAUGCAAGAUAAGAGCUUAUUAUUAAUGUCCAAUUAGAAAGAUUGUGAAAUAUGAAGAAAAUCUUAAUUAAUUUCAUGUUUUGAGUACACCAUCACACGCUGUUGGAGUCAAUAUAAAACUAUUUUUAAGUAUCAACCAACAAUUUAUUUUUUCUAUUAAAUGCAUAUAUAUAUUUUCGAUGUGGUAUUAAAAGUCUUAAUAACGAAAUAGAACAAAAAAUAGUAUUCAAUCUGUGAAAGUUUAAACAUAAUUUUUUGAGUUGGUAAUUAUACUUCUUUGCUUCAAAAAAUAUAUCAUGACUUUUGUUUCUCUAGAAUCACGUAGAUAAUAAUAGUUGAAGCAUGGAGUUCAACUGACAUAUCUUUUAAACUCUUAUAGAAUUCAUCGAGACCGUAUAGGGAUUGUUUCACAUGUCAAUUAAUAUAAUUAAUAUAGGGAAUGUUUCACUUGUUAAUUAAUAUAGAACACUAUUAUAAAAUUAUCAAAUACAAAAUACUGAAGAAGAAAAACCGUCAUUAAAUUAGGUGAUAUUUACUAACGGAACAUAACGUAAUUUUUUCUGUCAGUGAAUACCAAGAAAAUUACGGAUAAGAAUUAAGAAAUGAAAAAGAAGAAGCAGGUAUUCCCUCAUUAUUUUCUCGGAAAAUAUUAUUAUGUGUCAAUAAUUUUAAAAAAAAUUAUAAAUUAAAUAUAACUGUCGUUAAUAUUCGUUAGUGAAUUCAUUGGUAAUAUUUAAGCUAUAACCUACCAAAUCUCCUAUCCCUCUCUUUCAUUUCUUCUUCUUCUUUUUUCAUGCAGAAAAAAAUACUAUUUCCUUUUAUUUUGUCACAGAUCAAGCUCUUAUCAUCAUAAAUUUAGCUAUCCCAACUUUGAGUUUGUCAAUAUCUAUGUUCUAGUUUAAUUUUUUGAGUAUUUUUUAUUUCGAGUAAGCAAAUCUAAAUUUCUUCUUCCUCUCAUCCAUUAUGUUCUCGAUCCCUUUUAAUAUAUGGUGUGAGCUUUUGAACUUUUUUUUAUCAUAAAAUAUUAUUUAAUGCGUGCACGUGUAUAUGAUUAUGUUUAUACCGUAAUGUUUAGGAACUAAGGAGAACGUUACAAAAACAUUAAAAAUCGAACUGAAAACAGAAAAAAAUAAGGAGAAGAUGUACGCAAAAUUAAAAGCUUUUGAACAUGAUUAGUUGGAGAGUAGCUUUUGCUAAAAGAGAGCAGUUUCUUGAAGACUAACCGUAAAUAGGAAACUUGGAGUUCUCAAAGAUGAUUCAUAAUUGAGCGCCCUACCUUACCACUUUACUAGGAAGGGAAAAGUAACAAAUUUCAUAUUAUCUUAAAUGAGUUUUAAAAUCCAAUAUGUUUAGAAAUAAGAUUGAUAUAUUAAAUAAUUGAUUAAUCUUUUAGUUCAAGCAAUCUGAUUUAUUUUUUCUAACCAAUGAUAUGGAAAGCUCAGGUGGUUGGUAGUAGUAGGUGAUGUCAGGUAAACCAAAGUGACCGAUAGCUGUGGUAGUAGCAGAUGAUGUCUGGUAAGCCAAUGUGACCAGUAGCUGUAAUAGUAAUAGAUGGUGUCUGGUAGCUGAUACCUGUAAAAGAUCUCAUUUAUAGACGUGAGAAUUCUCUGAUGGUAAAGUCAAUAACUUUGUAGAGAGAGAAAGUGUGAUUAUAUUUUAGAGAGAUAGACUCUAAAAAUAUAUGUGCUGAAAAUAUUAAGAAUGAAAAGAUUGUGAACCUUGUUCUUGAAGGAUUCAUGGGGUAUUUAUAACUCACGAGUUUUUAUCCUUUUGUGAAGAGGAUUAGGUUAAAUGUAAUUUCACUUUUGUGAUAUUUUGAGUUGUACUCCACUCAAAACAAUACGUAUUGGAUCAGUAUAAAAAGCUAGAUACUCAUGUGGGGUCCUGAAAAAACUCCUAAGAGAAAGUUGGGCUCGAGCAAUAUGUCUAAGCCCAUUAGAGGUAAGAAAUUAGUCCAGGUGUGAUGCUUAGGGCGAACCUAUAGAGUCAUGCUCCUUCCCUAGAAAGAGCCCAUGAAGAGGCUGGGUACAUUAAUUAAGGGGGGUGUUUUAGAAUGUUUUUUUAGAUCCGUUAAUUUUGGUUUAUCAAUUAGGAAAAGUCACAAAUACCAUACUACCUUGUAAACUGAAAAUUCAUUACCUUAAUAGGUUGAUUAAAGAUGAAUAGGCAGGUUAUGACGAAACCACAAACCAUGGCGCGACAAAAUAGAAAGUGUCAUGGUGCGUCGUUCUUCUUUCCCCUCGAUCAAAUUGCCCAAGCACUCUUAACAGAUUGCUAUGAAAGAUGUCUCUUCUUGUCUUGAUGGGUCGUGCUUUCAAGGAUGGCCAAGGACCACUCACUUUAUAACUUAUUCUACAUCUUGCACUCUCUCUAAUUGCAUCAUGCAACAUGUUUGACUCCCUCAGAGUAUCUGUGAUAAAAUGGAUAAAACCUUGGAUAAUAAUCGCCAGAAAGCUUAAAAAAAGCGUGCGCACACACAAAUGAUAGUAUAAUAUUCCUAUUACACUCUUUUUAUAAAAUUAGGUGUGAGUGUUUACACUAAUUUUUGAAAGAUGUAGGGUUAUAAAAUUAAGAAAAUAUAGUUUAGGACUACAAAAGGAUAGAAUGAGACAGCUAAAUAGCAAUAAAUUAGCUUUUACACUUGUGUCAUGUUGAAGGGUACUUUUCAAAAGAUAAUUUUUGUUUAAUUAUUCAAUGAUUACAAUAAAUAUUUUUAAAGGUUUGAAAUAUUUAAAUUGUGAAAGAUAAAAUGUAUUUUUUAAGUUGAAGCCCCCUUUUCUUAUUUAUGUAUUUUUUUUUGUUUUGAAGAAAAAAAAUAUUUUUUGAUUAACAAUGUUUUUUUUUAAUAUAAAUCCAAUAUAAUUAAUUAAAAUGUGUAUUUGUAAGGCUCUAAGAAAUUUAAAUAAUGAAGUGAAAAAAAAUUAUUUCAUAAAGUGAUUAUUUUUUUAAUGAAAACAUAUUGUUUUUAUUAAUAAAAUGCUUUUUAAGCAAAAAUUCAUCAUGCUUAAAAAAUUAUCAUCAUAAUUUUUAUGUGACUAUGUACAAAAUAAAAGAAAUUCAUUAAAACAAUAUAAAAAUUAACAAUCACAAUAUUGUUUAAUUCUCAUUGAAUAUUAAUGUGGGAACUCUUUUUUGCAUAUUAGGCUCAUAUAUAAUUGUUAAAAAAAUGAUUGCAAAUAUAAAUAUAAAAGAUCUAAUUUAAUUUAAAAAAUAUUAAAUUAUUAGUUUGUGUUGUGUUCUAUGGGUCAAAUUGUUUUUUAUUUUAAUAAAAAAAAUGUCCAAGCAUUUUUUCUAUGAAAAAAUAAUUUAAUUAUGAAUUUAAAAUAUAAUGUACAUUGAAUGAAAUUUUUUUAAAAAAUAUUCAUAGGACGACAUAUUGGACUUAACAGGUAAAACCCAAGCAUUUGGUCUAAAAAAAGGAAAGGGAAAGUGUGUGUGCUCCCAGCAGCCGAUGUGGUGUCCAUUCAUUGUAAAAAAAAUAAAAAUUGUAGCAACAACAUGCUAUUAGUUGCAUCAAUUCUCCAUCCACCUCUGCUUGUCAAAAAAUUGAGCUUGAGGUUUUUUAGAUCUAAGCUCAAUUUUAAGCCCAUUUUAACUAUAAUUCUCUUUUUGAUUAUGUUUUUUUAUUGGGAUAGUUAAAGGGAUAAUUAUUGUUGAACUCUCAUCUCCAAGAUAAAUCUAUUGACAUUAAAAUUGAUUUUUUGAUGGUCGAGAUGUGGUUGACUAAAUAUUUUAUGGUAUCUUUCUCUUUUAUUUUUUUAGAAUCCGGUGACUGGAAAACAAUGAAAAUAAAGUUUGAAGACAAACAUAGAACUAUAAAACUCUAGGUACCAAGUCAUAAGAAAACAAAAACUUGAGAGACAAAAGGUAACGUUUCAAUGUCACUAUUACUAUUGCGCUACAGUGACAAAAAUAAUGCAUUCUAUCAUGUUAUAGCUUAAAGUAUAGUAUAAUUUUCUAUAACGACCCAUAACAUUGUUUCUGGGGCAAAAGUCAUUUUAUUUCUUAGAAGCGAAAGAGAUGAAAUUUGAUGCGAAUGUUUUACACAAAAUCCUUCCAUUGUUUGUCAACACCAUGCUGCGCUUUUAACGAAUCAUUUUCCACAAAUGUUUAGCCCUUCUAUGAGGUCAAAUGAUUGAGCAAAACAUGCUUUCAAUUUUAGAAUUGGGACAUCUAAAAUUCAAGCAUAUAGGUGGUACUAGCAAGGAGGCAAAAAUAUUGUUCUUUUAGGAAAACUCAGUUGGCAUAUAGGGAAAAUUCUUAUUAUAGAAUAAAUACUUAUCUCAUGAUGAGCGAUCUCCAUCACCUCCCUCCUCAGUCCACCUCUUCUACUUGGAAAAUUACUUGUAAAGCUUGUACAGAAUUAAAAGAGGAUUUUGCAUGGUAAUUUGGGAGUGGUUCAUAGGAGGCGCUAGUGAAGUUGGUUCCUCCUAGCUAGCUUAUCUUUUAAGGCUUGCCUCAAGGUCUCUCAUAUCAUCUCUUCGUUAUGGGACUUGGCUAUAGGACUUUCAGAUCAUUCUGCUAAAGCUUCUGAUCUGCAGGUGAAAGUCAUGGCUGUUAGACAGGGUCUAGAUUUAGCCUAGAAAAGGAUACAGUUGGUUUACGGAGGGCGACUGAAGCACAUUUUAAAGAAAGGUAAUUUUGUGUCGAUAUAUUUGGCCAUGCCAGGAUCUUUUUCAAAUGAACUCUUGUGUUCUUUGGACUUCUGUCGCUUAUGGGAUACGAAGUUGUCUUUCUGCUAAAGUUGUAGGAGUAAAGUCUGUUUGGUAUCUGUUAUGGUUAUUGUGCUGCGCUGAUUUUGUUGUUCUAUGAAAUUAAACAUAUUAAAUCUGGUUCUUAACAAAUAUUAAAAUGCAUGGGUAAAAACACACAGUAACCUACGCCACUGUUCACAUACAUAAUUCACGAUGGAUUGCCAUAAUGAUUUUUUUUCAUUGAUUAAGCUCUUUUGUGGCCAAAUUGAUGGUCAAUUGGCUUUGAUUUGUUUAAUAAGGGCAAGAUUGAUGGAUGAAGGACCACAGUGAAAAAGAUAGGUAAAAUAGAUGUCAACUUCAAAGUUUGCAAAAAAGUUCAAUUUGAUCCUUAUACUUUCCAAUUUUUUUUUGGUCCCUUUGGUUUUCAAAACAUCAAUUUCAAUCCAAACUUUAUCUUUCUUGUUUUUUGGUUCUUGAUUUGAGAGAGGAGAGGGAAAGUCAUUAGAUUCCAAUGGUAGAGAAAGAAAGUCUCGGUUGACUUCAAUUUAUACCAUGAAAAAGGUCAAUUUUGAUAUCAAUGAGUUUCAUUUGAGGAGAGUAGUCUCACCUAAGUGUUCUUUGUCCUUCCCAUCUCCUAAAAUGGUAGAUCUAAAAUCAAAAAGUCUUUUUUUCUUUAAUUAGAGUCGAUUUCAGGUUUUUAAACUGUUUGUCGGUGAUAAGUGUAAAAUAUACCUAUGUUUUUAUUCCUUUUACACUAUGCUUUUUAAUGUAUUUUGAACUUAUUUGAGUUGAUUGGAAGUUAUUUUUAUGAGUUUGGCAUGCAAAAGAGGCUUUGUGAAUUAAUUGCUUAAGAUAAGAAGUUCUGCAUUUUAUGUUUUGGACCUAGCUUCUUAUGAUAGGUUUUUCAUCACGUUAGAGUUCUUGAAUGAGAAAGUCAGCUUAAUCUAAGUUGAAUCACAUAUAUCAAGCUUUCUAGGAAGGUAUCAUUGAAAAAAAUAUGAUCUCAUUUGGAUCUUUAAUCAGACCUGCAAACUCGGGUCAGAAUUCUACUCGCAGCAGGAUUCUAACUUUCACACUAGAUAUUCAAAUGGGAAUAUCUUGAGCUUAAGAUAUCGAAAUCAGGAGAUUCAAAAGUCCAAAUUCAUCUACACAUCCAUUACUACAACUUGGAUGAGGUAUUCUAAUUCAGAUAAAAUUGUUUUCAAGACCAAACUCCGGACGCAAUCUGGAGGACGAGAUGGGUUUCCUACUCUGAUAAGGAAACCAACAGUGUUGAACAUCCUACACGGCAAAGAGUCUGACAUAAAAAUGGUGGGCCUUAGGAUCCAAGAAAGAUGCAUAUCAAGCCUCUAACACACCAUGAAUGAAUUAAUACUGCUAGGAUAGUCGGAUAUUGCAAGAAACCAAGUCAAAAACAAAGUCUAAGUUGCAGCAGAGUUGGAAUUACAACAAAAUUGUUACAGCAGCAGAAUCAGUUUUCAACGCAUAUUCUGAGAGAUUUAUCCAACCUUAAAGACCAGAUAAAUAAGGAAAGAAUUUAUCAUCAUGAAGACUCCUAAUUAGUCUAAGAAUCCUGAAGGUUUCGGCAGCAAAAAGGGAGGAUAAAGAGAGCAGAACACAACUGAAACAGGGGUCGAAAAACAUUCAUUUCUUCUCUGCUUUUGUCAAUUUUCCAGCAACCAUGAACUAAACUCCUAAAUUCGGUUCAAAAGGGACACACACCAUCUCCAUUAGCACAUUGUAAGAAGUAACGUUAUUAUUGUAAUUAUUUCAUAUUCAAGUAUUUAUUUUUCCUUGUUCAGAAUUAUGCUAUUGACUGUUAUUCAAGUUUAUUGAAUUGUUUUGAGAUAGCAUGUAUGCUUUUUAGUUCCUUUCAAUUCGUAAUUGUUGCCAGGGACUAGAUUAAGAAGCAAAAAAAUUAAUUUGAUUGCAGCAACUCUCAUUUUGAUUUAUUAGGGAAGAAUAAACAAAGUUAAAAUUGUCAAGCUUUUGAACGUUUGCUUAGAAUAAAUGCAUAGAUUUUAUUCAUAAGACUACUGCCGAGUCAACGAAAAUUGUUUUCAAUAUUACAUUCGCUUGAUGGUAAGAAAUUGAUUAGAGAGCUUUUUCUAAUUAAUGUGCUCAUAAUCUCAUCGAUUUUUUUCAGCUUUAAGGGAUAUCGAAUUUAUUUGCAUGAUGUGAAGGAAUAUUUAUUUUACUUUGAUGAUCAAUAGAUUUAUAGGAAUGGAUAUGUGGACCCUUGAACUGAUUUAACGACAUUAGUUUAUUAUUUUCAGAAUUAUUAUUUCUUGAAUUUUUCAUCCAAAUCCCCCAUUUUUUCUCAUUCAGUAUACUGUAAGAAGAUUAAAUGAAAUUUUCCUUGGGUUCGACCUAGUUUCGACGAUCAUACUAUAAAUUUAUUUUGUUUGUGAUAGUUAAGUCAGAAUUAUAUUUUGGUGGUUUCGACGAUCGACCAGUUGGGUUAUUCAAGACCAUGAAAAUGUUUGUUAAAGCGAGAAGUAUGUUUUCUAAGUAUUUUUUAUCAAAAAAGGUUGAAAAUUAAUUUUUGUUUUUGCGAAAAAACCAUGGCUUAAUUUUUUGGUUAUCCUCCAAUCUCCGAAAAAUAGGCUCGAUGUUUUUUUUUAAGAAAAACAACAAAAGCAAAUGAUAGGUCACCAUCAUUUUUAAAAGGAACAAAAGUCAGCCCAUGCACUAGGCCUAGAUUGAAAGGCCUGUACACCUGGGUUUUUUAAGCUCAUGCACACUGGGCCACUUAGGCUAAGCCCACGUACUUGGGCUUUUUUUGUUCAUAUUUGUUUGGUCCUUUUAUUCAUUUCUUCUUCUAAUUCCAUCCUUUAAUUUUGCCUAUACGCCAGGGUUUUUUAAGCCAUUGCACACUGGGCCACUUAGGCUAAGCCCAUGUGCUUGGGUUUUUUUUAUUCAUAUUUGUUUGAUCCUUUUAUUUCUUUCUUCUUCUAAUUUCAUCCUUCAAUUUUGAGUUUUUAUUUAAUUUUUUAUUGUCUUUUUAUUAAUUUUAACAAAUUUUUAUGAGGUUUUUUUUAAUAGAAUAUGAUUGAAAGGCCUGUACACCUGGGUUUUUUAAGCCCAUGCACACUGGGCCACUUAGGCUAAGCCCACGUACUUGGGCUUUUUUUGUUCAUAUUUGUUUGGUCCUUUUAUUCAUUUCUUCUUCUAAUUCCAUCCUUUAAUUUUGCCUAUACGCCAGGGUUUUUUAAGCCAUUGCACACUGGGCCACUUAGGCUAAGCCUAUGUGCUUGGGUUUUUUUUAUUCAUAUUUGUUUGAUCCUUUUAUUUCUUUCUUCUUCUAAUUUCAUCCUUCAAUUUUGAGUUUUUAUUUAAUUUUUUAUUGUCUUUUUAUUAAUUUUAACAAAUUUUAUGAGGUUUUUUUUAAUAGAAUAUGAUUUAAUUUUUACUUCAUUUAUAAAAAAGAUUUGAGCAUUUUAUUUUCAUAUUAGGAGGUAUGCUUUCUAUGUGGCCUUACUUUUUUUAAGAAAAAAAAUUAUCUAAUCGCUUUUGUUUACAUGUCUUUUUUAUUAUUAUCAUUUUAUUAAAUAAAACAAUGGUUCUAAAAAAUAAAGUUAUUAAAAUAAUUACAUCUACAUUCGCAUCCAUCUCUCAACUUUUUAAUUUAGUCUUUGAUUAAUCAUCAUUUAGUUUUUACUUGGUUUUCACAAAUAAUGAUAAUAUUUUUUUUCUAAUAUGUGCAACAUGUAACCUUGCAUGUUUUUUUGUUUGAUUUUAUUCAAUCGCUUUUGUGUUUGUAUUUAUUUCUAUUAUUUUUUUAUUAAAUAAAAAAUAAAUUAUAAUAAAUAAAAUUAUUAAACACAAUCGGAUACAUGACCAAAGUUAUGAGAUUAAAUAUCUUAAUCUACAUCUAUUUCUUAAUUUUUUCAGUUUAGUCCUUAGUUAUCGUUAAUUGUUUUUGUAUUUAAUGGCACAAAUAAUUCUCGAUUUAUUUAAUUGAAUGCAUACAUAAAUUUCUGGAUUUAUAAUUAUGAUUUUUUUAUGUUAAAAAAAGUUAAUUUGAAAAAUCCUGUAUAUAUUUUUUUGGUUAAAACAAUUAUCCAAUCCAGCGAAAUUGUAAGUAAUGUUUAAAUUAAAACAUGAAUAGUACAAAUGUAAAUUUAAUACUUUCAAAAAAAUGAAAAUGAAUUACUUGAAAGCUUGUUUAUUUCGUUGACAAAACAUAAUUCAAUCUUAGACUAGCUAGAACAAAUUCAUUUAAUUCAAAGUUGGGUUAACUGCCUUCCUGACCACAAUAGGACUCCUAACAUGGUGCACACCAUCUGACCAUGUGAGCCCUCCAAACACGUAAGAACUGAUAAACCAAUUGUCCUUAGCCUUCAGCAUGACCUUGAAAGUUUUCUCUUCAUUUAGCUUGCUGAAUUUCAAACUCUCUGGCUCUACCUUAACUAAUAUUCCAUCAGGCUUCUUGACACGAACUGUGUAUAAUCCUGGAGUUCCCACGUUCUUUAAGGUUCUAGUCAACGUGACAUUUCCUGAGAGAUUAGGGACAGUAAUUGAAGGAUAGUUGAAAUUCAACAAACUGAUAUUCUUCGGUGGGCAAGCAUAGGGCUCUUCGAUGAAUAGUGACAUCUGGGUUGCAUUAUAGCCGAUGGAGCACAGAAAAUUCAAGUAAUCCGUGGUGGUUAAGUCAUAGACCAACCCAGGAUCCAUCGCGCGGUUUGGCCGCAGAUGUCCUGAACCAUAGUUGAAGGGGGUUGCCUCCGCAGCAGAAGCGUCGGCUAUUGGCUGUCUAGCAUUGCUACCUGUUCUAGCUGGAGCAUCAUAAACAUCAAAAGUUUUGUUAGUAUGUUGAAUUUGAAGUUAAAUAAAAUCAUAAUAUAGAAACUAUAGUGGAGAGCCGACAAAUAGAAGCUGAACUACCGGUGGUCAUGAUUGCUGACUUAAUUGCGGCUGCACUCCAAUCAGGGUGCAUGGUUUUGAGAAGACCAGCAAUGCCAGAAACAUGGGGGCAUGACAUUGAAGUCCCAGAUAUAAUGUUGAAGGAAAGAGGGCGCCGGUCUAUAAGCCGAGAUAAACGCCUUGGUGCUUUUGUAUAGGCAGCUAAAAUAUUGACUCCAGGUGCAGUGAUGUCUGGCUGGAAUUUUUAACAAAAUUUUGAUGUUAUGAACACAACAGAGGCAUUUAUUGUCUGCAAGUCCAAGAAUAACUCGUCUUUGUUUUUCUUAAAUCAAAAUAACCAGAGAAGAAUCCUGUAGCAUACCUUGAGGAUCUCUGGUGUAAUUUCAUUUGGUCCAGUUGAUGAAAAGGAAGCCAUGACUGGUGCAACCACUUUUCCAAUUUCAGUAGAGCCACUUAUAUAAGCUACCGGUGACCUGAAAAGAUAAAAACAUAUUGGUUAUAUAGAAUACUGACUUGCUACAAGAUUUGAAAGAUCGAAACCAAUCAAUUAGUACAGAGAGCUUAAUUACUUUGUGCUGUAGAUGUAAGAUAAAACGGAAAGACCAUCAAUUGCUGAGACAAGUGAAGUAGGAACAAAGAAACCUUGAGGCAUGCUUGAACUGUCUUCAGAUUGAUCAGAGAGGAUCAUCCCAACACCACCAGCCUGAGCAACCACCAAGCUCUUCUCGACAUCAGGUAUCAUACCACCAAGACAAUACACAAUCUUUCCUCUUACCUUUGUUGGGUCAAGGGAUUCAGGAUAACAUAUUUGUCUGCCAAUCACAAAUGCAUAAGGAUAUACAUAUAUAUAUAUAUAUAUAUAUGUGCUCAAUUGAAUAACCAAUAAGUCAACAUGAAUCGGUUGCUUACGCAAGUUGAGCAGUGGCAUUUGCAGCUUUAGCAUCCACGGAGUAAACUAUAGGAUAAUACUUCCUAGCUGACAGGUUAUUGGUGUUAAAGCUCGUGCCCUGUUUAUAAGCGAAUUCAAAGAAUCAAGAUAUAAUGAUACGGUUGAACUAUGUCGGUUGUGGUAGAGUGUAAAUGGGACCGCUUUCUUGUUGCUCAUAUGGUAAACAUAAGAGUUAAUUGACUGGAUCAUCCACUAUACUAACCUUGAACUCCUUGUUAUUUCCGAGGACAACAUUCGAUGGAACUCCCGAUCAAUUGUGCUAGCCGCAACGGUGAGAACCCACGGAGCUACAUUUGAAGUUGUUCCGAAGCCAAGGAAUUGUCCGGAGUUCCCAGCCGAGCAAACUACAAGAAUCCCGUUCUUAACAGCCUGAAAAGAUCCAAUUGCAAUACCAUAUCUGAAGUAAGGGAUAGCAAGUGCCCUUCCAAGUGAAAUGGACAAAAUGUCAACCCCAUCUUGAAUAGCAGCGUCGAAGGCAGCCAAUAUAUCAGCAUCAUAGCAACUCGGCCAGCACACCUUGUAUGAAGCAACUCGUGCAUUAGGUGAUCCUCCUUUCGCUGUCCCGUAGGCUGAUCCUAGGAAAUUGGCACCUGAAACAAAGCGACCACCAGCUGUAGAUAGAGUGUGGGUACCAUGACCAUCAGUAUCUCUUGCGGUGUUAUUGGAUGAAUCAAGUGGACGGCCUAGAGCUGCCUCAUAACCCUUGUUGAAGUACCUUGCUCCGAUCAACUUCCUGUAAGUAAUGACAUUGAUUUCUUUUUUUAGAACUUGUAUCAAGAAGCAUUUUUCACUGUUCUUAGUAAUGUUAGAGAGCAGGCGAAGAAAGAAACCUAUUGCAUUUAACCCCAUCAUUUGUUUCACAAUAUCCUUUCCACCUUGUUGGAAUUGGUCCCAUUCCUUCAUCGUCGAAGCUCUCUGAUUCCGGCCA
rnacentral:lncRNA from 1 species